UUUGAGUUCCUGUUCUCCCCUAACCAGCUGGGCCCCUGGCAGGACACUUGGCCUCCCUGAGUUUCAGUUUCCCAGACUGUUAACUCUGCUGGUCCCACCUGCUUCUCAGAGAGAGCAGUGGGUUGAUGGUGCAAUCCAGGAGGGGCUGAGGGAAAACAUGAGUAUCGUGAUGCAUGACGGGAAUUACCAAAACGGUGCCUCUGAAGAAAGGAUUCAUCAGGGGACACAUGGCCCUUAUGAGCAUUAAGCUGUUGGGACAACAGGAGAAAAAGAUUAUAUCAAGAAACAAAAGGGAAUGGUUCAAGAUGCAGGUGAAAGAGAAUGAGCACCAUUGACAGGUGGCAUAUGGCAAGCGACACCCAAGGCUGGGGAUUGCUGGGAGCCCCUGUGCAGAGAGAGGGGCUUUGGAAGCAGACGUGGUGUGCGUCCUGCCCACCACGUUUUAGCUGCAUGCUCUGGGCCAGGCACCUCGCCUCUCAGAGACUCUAACUGAUCUGUAAAAUGAAAAUAAGCUCUUUCUCCUAAGAGUCAUAAGAAUUAAAAACAGGAUAUAUAAAGUUCUUGACUGACCAUAGCCCCCCAGUAAAUGUUAUUUUCUUCCCCCCUCCCCUCCCAGGGGGAAGGAAGCAGUAAUAGACACGGGAGCAGAGCUCACCAGGAAAGACCACAGGAGUCUGGUUUAAAGGAAGCCCGCAGAGCCCGGACAGGGUGGAUUCGAGCAAAGGUGGGGGGUGGACUCAGCCGUGGACUGGAUUGGACACCGGCUGCCUCUGUGCAACCCUGGUGUUGCUUCAAAGCAGAGUAGGAACAGGAGCAAAGAGGGUUCAGCCCCAAGGAGUGGCAGUUCCACUAGCACAUGGCUGGACAUGCCACCCUGUUUUUUGUACUUUACAAGGGGAGCUUCUCCUCGCUGUAUGAAAGGCCUGAGACGGACAGUGGGUGUCACCCUUUGGAACUGGGGUGUGCUAAGUAGGAUGCCCUCCCUGCCAACCAUAUGCAACCUGUCCCCCAACCGGCAACCCCCUUCAAAUUCCAAAUCCCAA